CUGAGGAGAACUAGGCGGUUUUCUGAUCAGAGUUCAGAUAAAGACGGUCACAGUAAUUUGUGGGCACUGCCUAAAAUAACCCAAAGGGUUAGAGAGCUUGGGCAAAAGAGGCACACUGACAAACUAAAAAGCACAGAAACAAUGCAGCAUUCAGGCAUAAUGAGCUGAAAGUGCACGGUACGCCAGGUCAAGUCUGCAACCUCUGAGCUCCUCUCCGAGAGCGGUUUGCCAAGGUCAGGGAUAUCUCAAGAAUAAUGUUCUGCAGAAUAAACCCUGUGGAGUUGUGGCUCUAACAGUUCAGGGAGGUAAAAGACAAAGUAAGAAGAAAGAAGAGAGGCUAAAAGUUCAGAAGGAGGUUCUGGGAAGUUCUCUCUUCUGUUCCCAAACUGGAAAGCUGGAAUUGGACUGUAACCUUCUGACCUUACUCAUACAAAGAGAUCUACCCUGGAUUGUCUUUUCCAAGGCCUGCUCUGUCCACAGGAUAAAUCACAGGCUUACACCUUCUCUGACAAGAAGUCCGAAAUCAUUCUGAUCCUGUUUCUCUGCUUGGCUCCAUCUGGUGGUGUUCAAUCCCUGAGCACCAGAGAGGACCUCUGGGAAGGAGUUUUCAGUAAGAAGAAAACUUUGAAAAUCCUUGAAUGGGGUCUCGCACAUAUUAAGCUACCUUCUCUGUCCACUUUGUCAAAGAACAGUAUGGCUUAGUUCAUUGUAGUCAUGCUUAUAAUGACAUUUUGAAUCUAUUUACAUACAUCAUCUCAUUCAGUUUCCUCAAGAAUACUCCGAUAAAACUGUUAUUCCUAUCAAUUUUAUAGGCAAGAAAAUCAAAGCUCUUAGAGAUCUGGCAAUUUGCUCCAAGUUCUAUUGAUUUUAAGAUUGGAACUCAGGUUUCAUUUGAGGGUAAAGCCUCCAAUUUUAACCCUAAACUUUAUUGCCAGCUCUGUCAAGGUGAUUGAGUAAUAUUUAAACUGAAAAGAAAAACAGGUUAGAUGGCUUCGUGGUCAUCACAGUCACAGAAACCACCUUUUUAGAUUUGUGCACUACUGGUUGAACAACUGAUACAUUCUCCUUUGGAUGGGAAGAUCUGAGUUUGCCUUACUGAGCUGCUGCUUUUUCCAUAGACUGUGGGAAAAUUGAGGAUAUCCUUGCUCCAAAGACCUAGGCCAUGGCAGGUAUUCUUCUACAGGAGGACCAGAGAGGUGCAUAGUGGCAGCCUGCACAAGAGUGCAUGGUUUCUAGUCUUCAGGGGCACCCUGGUGAGUAACUGCACUGUGUUGUUGGCUUCCUACUUUGUGACUGACUGGGAAAGAUCAUUCUAAUCAAGACAGUAGACCUCCAAGUCUACUUAGAGGGGAAAUAUCAGGAUGACAACCAGGAUGAGAAGAACAUCCAGAAUCUGUGUAUUUCUGCUACCAUUCUGCAGCCCAACUCUGACCUCAUCCUGCUUGAUGCUAAGUUUACCAUUUUGAAGCUCCUGAACAAGGCUCAUGUCAGCCCCCUCAUCCAGCUCAUUUUCCUUGAGGCCACUUGGGACCUCAGCAUCUCCUUCCAGGAGUCCCACAUCACUGUGGCCUGCUGGAAGGUGCUGGCCAAGUGAAAGACCACUGGCUUCAAGAAUAAUAUAUGCUGUGCUCAGGAGUGGUCAAGGUAGCAGACUCAUUGCUGCGUGAGGAACAUCAUGAAGACCAUGGCAUUCUAGUGAGUGACAUUGAUAACAUGCCAUUUGGGACACUACCUCCUUUUUUAAUAUCUGCUUCAGAGACGGUAUGUGUGUAUGUGUGCUUGUGUGUAGUCUUUCAGUAUAUCCAUCCAUCCAUCCAUCCAUCCAUCCAUCCAUCCAUCUCUCUGUUGCAUGAGGCAGUGUGGACCUAAAGUGUGACUUUACCUGCAAAUUUGGCUGUGCCAGGAAGAGGCUUCUGAUUUCAGAGACAAAACUCAGUGGAGGGUGAGUAGAGCUCAGUUUCUAGUAGGCAACUGCUUCCUUGACUGCUCCAACAACCAUUUGGAAGACACCAGAGUUUUCAAGUUCUUCAAAGACAGACUAUAUGAGUAGCAAAGAAAAUCUUCCCAUUCAACCAAUCCAGUGGCCUUCUCCAUCCUGCAGUGGUGUGAAUGGCAUGGUCAGUUCUGAGGGGAGAUCUAGGUUUCAUGAGGCCUAUUCUGAGGUUCCAGAGAAUCCAAGUUCUAACGAUCUGACUGCAAGAUGGCCCGGGACAGUGGAGCUUUGAAGAGGCACAUGCUUUUUUGUACAUUGCCACAGUACAGUGUGGUCCUUUUCCCUUCCAAUGUCCUAUACACAUAUUACUAAAACAAGGGUUGGUUUCUGACCUACAAAAAAACAAAACAAAACAAAAAAAACAAGUCUCCAAGCAAACAAAACAACAAACCCUUGAGUGGAGUGAGUGCUUAGUAUUUACAGAUGAUUGAAUGGGCAAGGGAAGAGAAACAAGUGAGGGAAUCCAAAUCUGUUCAAUGAACACAAAGGGAAAAAUCCUCGGGAAGUCAGUGGGGGAAAGGUUUUCCAAAGGAAGUGGAUCUGAGAUACUGGGCUACAGAUCUCACAGGCAGAAGAGAAGAAACAGGAAGACAGUCAAGACUGGGACAGAAAAUGAAGCAAAACAUCUCAAAGGGUUUUGGGGAUCCUAUGCCUGGCAUUGUAAUUAGUGGGUGGUUUCCUCUGAUUUAAGAGUCGGAAAAAAUGUAUGAAAGGCUCUCCAGGGACUGAGUGGAUGGUAAAGAAUCCCUACUGUAGAUGCCAGGUACACAGACAAGUCUCUAAUGAGUAUUUUCCAGUAUCAAGUUCAACUGGCACUGAACAUACAUACAAAAAGCGGAUGAAUUAUUUUGGCAUGUGGCUAUUACAUCUACCUUGUCACUGCCUCUGUCCCAGUGCAUUGCAGCCGACACAAUGUUUCCACUCAGAAGACAUCAAAAGGUAUAUCUCACUUUAAAUAUGGUAAAAGAAACCCUGAUCACACAAUUUGAGACUUUUAAUAUGAGCUCUUCGUUGAAUCUCUUUGCUUAAUGUUUUCAGAGGUCAAAAGGAGUUGUUAACUGUCUGCCUUGAACCACAGAGAAAGUUACUGCUCAUUCUAAGUGCAGAUUUUUAGGAGGGUGUUCCUGGCAAUUGCUUGCAGUUGGCUUUUUCAAAUUUAAAUGGGAAUUAAUAUUCAGAACUGGUUUUGGUGGACAGGUGGGAAGAUUCUGGAAAAUAGGCCGUUUGUCAAGAUGAAUCUGGGCUACAACUUUUAAAGCGUUGUUGGUAUAUUUAUCAUAAUUUUGGGCUAAAAACAUAUUAGUACUGUUUUUCACAAGCCUAUUCAUAAUGAAAUUUGUAAUACUUUUUUCCCUGAAAUGUCUUAAUAAUAUGGCCUCCUUAAAGAAAAGUUUAUGUAAUACCUAUGAUUUGACUUAUUUUAUAGGAUGCCCAAGUAAUGUUUCACAAAGAAUGUGUCUCAUGUGCUUACUAUUUUGAAAAUCACUAUAGUAGAUGCUAUCUCUAAUGCCAUUCUCAAUAUGCUCCAUUUUGAAACUUCCACUAUUAACUAUUUUUGGUGUUAUUUCCAAUUUUACUCACUUUCUUUUAUAAUAAAUCAAUAUCAAGCCUUUAUUUUUGAGGUGUUAUAUUUCAUAUCUGUGUGUCCACCCAUGGUUGAAUAUGGAUAUUGUGUACAUUCAAUGAGUACUCUCUAUCCUUCGUCUUCUGAGCCUGGAGUACUUGCAAAAAUAUUUUGGUGAAUGAAUUAAUUGAUGCAAAACAUGGGUCUAAGUAUCACAGUAUUAA